GAUGAACGCUGGCGGCGUGCCUAACACAUGCAAGUCGAACGGUGAAGCAGGAGCUUGCUCCUGUGGAUCAGUGGCGAACGGGUGAGUAACACGUGAGCAAUCUGCCCUGGACUCUGGGAUAAGCGUUGGAAACGACGUCUAAUACCGGAUACGAGGCAUGGGGGCAUCCCCAACGCCUGGAAAGAACUUCGGUCCAGGAUGAGCUCGCGGCCUAUCAGGUAGUUGGUGAGGUAACGGCUCACCAAGCCUACGACGGGUAGCCGGCCUGAGAGGGUGACCGGCCACACUGGGACUGAGACACGGCCCAGACUCCUACGGGAGGCAGCAGUGGGGAAUAUUGCACAAUGGGCGCAAGCCUGAUGCAGCAACGCCGCGUGAGGGACGACGGCCUUCGGGUUGUAAACCUCUUUUAGCAGGGAAGAAGCGAAAGUGACGGUACCUGCAGAAAAAGCACCGGCUAACUACGUGCCAGCCGCCGCUGUAAAAC
rnacentral:rRNA from 1 species